GUCAUAAGCUACAAUCAGGGCGCAAUCUUUCUCGUUUGGAAAUCUUUUCAUUAGUUUUAAACAUUAAUAUGUGAUAUUUUUUUUCUUUUUAGAAGGUCGCAAGAUGACCUGUAGUUGAUGGUAUCCUUGAUCAUUUUUUUUUAUCAAUAAUUGUCUCAUUAACAGUCAAACCACAACAUGCACAAUUCCUCAUUUUAUCAUGCAAACACUUAGAUUACCCUGGAAAUCUUAAUUCCUUUCAGUAGACUUAUCGAUUAGCAGGUAUGUUAUUUUUAUUAUCUAAAGUACAAGACUAGUGUAGUUGACUGUUAUCGGGUGUAUUAUGUCCUAUAUGUUCUCCCACUUAUUUGUAUUAUGGUCCUGUAGUGUAAUGUUUUCAUUUCAAUGUUAUAUUGAACAUUCACAAAAAAGAGGGAGGUUUGGCUAGCCACAAAGCGAGGUUCAACCCACCAGUUGUUUCUUAACAUGUCCUGUACCAAGUCGGGAAAAUGGUCAUUGUUCUAUUAUAGUUCGUUUUAGUGUGUGUUACAUUUUGAUGGUGUAUUUCUGUUAUGUCGUAGAUCUCCUCAUAUAUUUGAAGUGUUUCCCUGUUUAAGUUUGUAACCCGGAC
rnacentral:lncRNA from 1 species